rnacentral:rRNA from 1 species
AGCGAACGCUGGCGGCAUGCCUAACACAUGCAAGUCGCACGGGGGGGCUUCGGCCUCCCAGUGGCGGACGGGUGAGGAACGCGUAGGGACCUGUCGAGGGGUGGGGGAUAACCGCGGGAAACUGCGGCUAAUACCGCAUGACGCCGCGGCGUGACAGCCGGGGCCAAAGGCGAAAGCCGCCCGCCGAGGGGCCUGCGUCCGAUUAGCUGGUUGGCGGGGUAGCGGCCCACCAAGGCGUCGAUCGGUAGCUGGUCUGAGAGGGUGAUCAGCCACACCGGGACUGAGACACGGCCCGGACUCCUACGGGAGGCAGCAGUGGGGAAUAUUGGACAAUGGGCGCAAGCCUGAUCCAGCAAUGCCGCGUGGGUGAAGAAGGUCUUCGGAUUGUAAAGCCCUUUCGGCGGGGACGAUGGUGACGGUACCCGCAGUAGAAGCCCCGGCUAACUUCGUG